rnacentral:rRNA from 1 species
GACGAACGCUGGCGGCGUGCCUAAUACAUGCAAGUCGAACGCAGGGGGGACGGGUGAGUAACACGUGGGUAACCUCCCAUCAGAGGGGAUAACACUUGGAAACAGGUGCUAAACCGGUACUGAUGGAUGGACCCGCGGUGCAUUGGCUAGUUGGUGAGGUAACGGCUCACCAAGGCCACGAUGCAUAGCCGGCCUGAGAGGGUGACCUGCCACACUGGAACUGAGACACGGUCCAGACUCCUACGGGAGGCAGCAGUAGGGAAUCUUCGGCAAUGGACGAAAGUCUGAUCGAGCAACGCCGCGUGAGUGAAGAAGGUUUUCGGAUCGUAAAACUCUGUUGUUGGAGAAGCGGUAUCUAACCAGAAAGCCACGGCUAACUACGUGCCAGCAGCCGCGGUAAUAC